CCGCUGUCUCAAAAAGUAAAUAAUUCCAUAAACUACUGACUUUUUAAUGCAUCACUAGUGACAAACAAAAGACCAACAAGAAAAUGGCAUCUAAUGUCUGCUCGAUAGACCUACCGAGCAAUGUAUUCAGCUAUCUACCUACUCCCUUAUCACACAUCUGAGUGCUGCCCAGAUCCAGGUGUUCCUUCUGCCUGUGGCUGUCGGACCAGACUGCGUGUUUAGCCUUCCUACCCAAAUAUCCCUAAUAACAGGUGGUCGCACUGGGGCCCCGGAGGCGCUGAGCGGCAGAUGAGCUACUGUGGCUGCGCGCGGCGCGGCGCAGAGCCCAAGUAGCUGGACGCACCUCUACGCAGCGCGCCGCCAGGGGGCGCUGCCACCGCUCGCCUUCGCCCGGCGGCCCCCGGCGGUCUGCCGGGCCCCCGGUGGGAAAAGGCGACGCGGCUUCCCUGGGGUUUGGCGUUUGUUAACGUCAGUCAUCGCUGCGAGGCCGCGGGCCGAGGAGGAAGGAGCUCCUCCGAGCUCUCCCCCGUUCGCGGCAGCACCCAUCGGGGCGGCAGGUGCAGGCGACCCGAGCGUCGCGGAAUGGCGAGUGCACCCCUCGGGCACGAAGCCGCGUCCCCAAGAGCCCCUCGCAGCGGGGAGUAGCGAGCCGGGCCCGCCCGGACGGUGUCAUCGCAGCAUCGCGAGCUGGCCGCCGAGACGGAGAAAUCUUAUUUUGACAUAUGAUUGUCUGAACAGCAGAGAAGAUCAAAACUCCUGAUGCCACCUAUAACUUUAUACCCAUGUAAACUUAAUCAAGGUAAUGCCUAUAGCAUAUAGUAUGAUACCUCAUAAAAGGUACAGUAGGUGAGGCAACGUUACCAGAAAUGACAGGGUAACACAAUGAGAAAAUAAGUAACAAGGUAUGCAGCGCUAAGAGUUUGAGAUUAAUACAGUGCCUACAAACAUUGGAAACUUCUUUCUAGGCUUUUUACCUGUGCAAUCAUGUUCUCAGUGUGCACAUAUAUGUGUCCCUCCCAAAAUACCCUAAAUUUUCUAAAUGGCAGGAGUUCCAAACUGAAGAAUUGAAUUCAUACAAUUAGUGAAUUCCAGUGUCCAGAAAGCCUACAAUUGCCUCUGCUGAGGAAUAGUAUCAUGUAGAGUAAGAUCUUUUUAGGUAUCAAGUAUCCAUAUAAGAGACCAUACAAAAACCUCAGCCACAAAGAAUGUUUCUGUCAGAGACUGCUCUUCCUUGGACACCAGUGAAUGAUGAGAUGUACAUCUCCAUAAAGCACCACAGCACUUUAGUUUUGAUAUUUAAGGAACAUUGUUUUGGACAUUUAAUGUCACAAACGUCAAAGUUGCAAAGAAUGGAGAGAAUAAUGGAGUGGAACUGAGGAGUGACCUGAGGGUAAGUGAUGCCGCAGGACACAGCAUCCAGAAAAAUGUUCUGGGCACACAGGUUUGCUUAAGGGGAAGACAGGAGAGGAGGAAGAUGGUCCCUAUCAGUCUGUAAGAGUAGGAUGUUUGCUGAUUUCAGUCUUACGUACAUCAGCAAACAGAAGUACCAAGUAACUAAGUUAUCAGUGGUCAGUUUCUGCUUGGUGUGAAAUGAUGUAAAAGCAGUGAUUUAAAGUGGGAAGGGAAAAAGAGCCUGGACUAUGAGACUGGCAUGCAAGGACUGUGGCUUCUAAUGACUUGGAGAGAGUUGACUUUGUAACUGCCAAAGGAGAGAAGACUCUAGUAUUUGUGACAUGGCAAGAGAAGAAAAUUUGACAAAAUACCCUUGAACUCGGGUAGCAUGGGCAGGAAGAGAGAAGGGAUGAGGUGCCAGACAAUGGUCCUAUAGCUGUGAACCCCUUAUACUAAUUUGGCUGCUGUUUGUUAUCUUGUCUCUGCAUGUAAUGUCUUUUGUAUUAUUAGCAAAAGCAGCUACACUCUGUUCAAAGGGAAAGAAGUCAAGCAUGGGACAUUCCUCUCAGAAACAGGAAGGCACUUAACUUGAGGAUACAUUAAUUGUCUAGAAAUACUACCAAGCCCACCUUUGCUAGCAGGCAAAGUGCUGCUACGAAAUUUUAGUUACGUGAGAUAACUGCUUUGCUAAAAUACAUGAAUCAGAUAUUGACCAACAGCCAUUUAAAGAGUAGAAAAAGACAAAGCUUCCUAAAAACAUAAAAAGCAAGUGAAAAAGAUGAAAACCAAUCAUAAUUUGAGAAGAGAGGGUGCUGAAAAAAAGACAAAAGUUGGAAAAGGUAAAGAGUACGUAUUUAAGACAGUUUGUCAGUGUGAAAUGGCAAAUAAGCAACUGCCGAUCACAAACUGAUUGCAAGAGAAUAUCAGGGAAUGUAUGCAAAGGAAUAUACACUCACAAUUUCAGUUGUAUGUGUGUAUAGUGAAUGGAUAUACAGAAAACCUAUAAAGAUAGUAGUAAAAAUACCAAAGUUGAAAGGGAUCCACUGAAUGGAAAAGAGGAUAUGAAAAGAAGAGCCACUUACAUUCAGUAGCAAGAAGAUCACCUCAGUCAGGUACAGUUUGUGAAGAGCUGCAGUCUUAGGAGACUACCAUGAGAUUAGGGAUUGACACAAACUUCCACUUGGACUUGAGUGCCAGUAGCAAGUGGUCUGAGUGCAGUGGUGGAGAUGUAUGUCAUAUGGCAUGGGUCAUACCAGUGGCAAUAAAGCAAACAAGGCAGAAGGAGCCA
rnacentral:lncRNA from 1 species